UAAAGGGUUUUUUUAAUAUUUAUUCUUCACAAUGGAGGGACAGGCAACAGUCACUCAACGCUCUCAUGAAAACUUGGUGCAAUGUGAUGCUGAUAGUACAGUUAAUAAUAAAAAUGAAGUUCAAACUUGCUCAAAGUUAACAAGUGCGCAGCUCAUCAUAUUCCAAACAUACAAUACAAAUGUGUUUGAUGGUCUACAAUUAUUCAAAUGAAGUGAAUUACGAAGGUUAAGGAAUUGCAUGAAGCUGUAAAUGUGACCUGGGUACCUCCAGUCCAGCAGCUCACCAACUUUCCAAUUUUGGAUUUCAGUUUUAGUACUCUAAUGCCAGUUUGUAUUUGUAUUCUCUCAAUCUGGAGCAGCCAGGUUAUGAUAUAUAACUAAAGACCAGUGUGCCAAGUGAUCAAUGGUUAAGGAGUUGCAUGAAGCUGUAAAUGUGACCUGGUCACCUCUAGUCCAGCAGCUCACCAACUUUCCAAUUUUGGAUUUCAGUUUUAGUACUCUAAUGCCAGUUUGUAUUUGUAUUCUCUCAAUCUGGAGCAGCCAGGUUAUGAUAUAUAACUAAAGACCAGUGUGCCAAGUGAUCAAUGGUUAAGGAGUUGCAUGAAGCUGUAAAUGUGACCUGGUCACCUCUAGUCCAGCAGCUCACCAACUUUCCAAUUUUGGAUUUCAGUUUUAGUACUCUAAUGCCAGUUUGUAUUUGUAUUCUCUCAAUCUGGAGCAGCCAGGUUAUGAUAUAUAACUAAAGACCAGUGUGCCAAGUGAUCAAUGGUUAAGGAGUUGCAUGAAGCUGUAAAUGUGACCUGGUCACCUCUAGUCCAGCAGCUCACCAACUUUCCAAUUUUGCUUGGAUGCAGGAACAGCUGCUCAGCAGUUGGAUGUCAGUUUUAGUCCUGUAAUGUCAGUUUGGAUUUGUAUUCUCUCAAUCAAUACCAGUGUGCCA